ACCAUUACAAUCCCCGUUCACGAGAUUCCGCUAUAUAUAUGGGAUUCUCGAAUCGAAUCCAUUAAUUUGAUCAUAUGUCAUUGAUCCAAAAUAAUUAAUCUCUCUUCGUCCUCCUCCUGGAGCCAAAAAUGUAAACAUGCUGUUAGUGAGCAAUGGAUCUUUGUUCGAGUUAGAAGCUAAGUAUGAGUCAGGAAAGACGAACAGAUAAUGCAUGUACAUGUAUGUUGAGGUUUUCAGCUAUGGAAAUGUGCCAUCUUGCUGUAUCUUGUCUCUUGGUGCCACAGUAUCCCCACCAUGUCCUCCCACGAUUGAGAUGGCACUCCUUACUGUCCUGCAUUUUCAUCUCUGAGCUGGAAUGGUCGCUGGUCCUCUGUCUCACAAAAACAAAAAACUUGCACUUUGCACCAUAAGCAUUGAGUCCACAAUAAAUUGAUCCAUCUGCCUUGUGUUCUGUCUAUUCUUCUUCAAAGCCAUCAAAGACGCUGCCAUCCCCUGGAUUUAAUUACAAUCCCCGUUCACGAGAUUCCGCUAUACAUGGGGUUCUCGAAUCGAAUCCACAAUCCAUUAAUUUUAUCAUAUGUCAUUGAUCCAAAAUAAUUAAUCUCUCUUCUUCCUCCUCCUGGAGCCAAAAAUGUAAACCUGCUGUUAGUGAGCAAUGGAUCUUUGUUCGAGUUAGAAGCCAAGUAAUUGUCACGAAAGACGAACAGAUAAUGGUAUAUGUAUGUUGAGGUUUUCAGCUAUGAAAUUGUGCCAUCUUGCUGUAUCUUGUCUCUUGGUGCCACAGUAU
rnacentral:lncRNA from 1 species